rnacentral:rRNA from 1 species
AUUGAACGCUGGCGGCAGGCCUAACACAUGCAAGUCGAACGAGUGGCGGACGGGGGUGUAAUGUCUGGGAAACUGCCCGUUGGAGGGGGAUAACACCUGGAAACGGUAGCUAAUACAGCAUACCAUCGGAGGUGCCCAGAUGGGAUUUGCUAGUAGGUGGGGGAACGGCUCACCUAGGCGACGCUCCCUCGCUGGUCUGAGAGGAUGACCAGCCACACUGGAACUGAGACACGGUCCAGACUCCUACGGAAGGCAGCAGUGGGGAAUAUUGCACAAUGGGCGCAAGCCUGAGGCAGCCAGGCCGCGUGUAUGAAGAAGGCCGUCGGGUUGUAAAGUACUUUCAGCGGGGAGGCGUUACUCGCAGAAGAAGCACCGGCUAACUCCGUGCCAGCCGCCGCGGUAAUAC